ACGCACGCUGGCGGCGUGCUUAACACAUGCAAGUCGAACGUGAUUUUUGUGGAAAUUCUUUCGGGAAUGGAAAUGAAAUGAAAGUGGCGAACGGGUGAGUAACACGUGAGCAACCUACCUUACACAGGGGGAUAGCCGUUGGAAACGACGAUUAAUACCGCAUGAGACCACAGAAUCGCAUGAUAUAGGGGUCAAAGAUUUAUCGGUGUAAGAAGGGCUCGCGUCUGAUUAGCUAGUUGGAAGGGUAAAGGCCUACCAAGGCGACGAUCAGUAGCCGGUCUGAGAGGAUGAACGGCCACAUUGGAACUGAGACACGGUCCAAACUCCUACGGGAGGCAGCAGUGGGGAAUAUUGCACAAUGGGGGGAACCCUGAUGCAGCGACGCCGCGUGAGCGAAGAAGGUUUUCGAAUCGUAAAGCUCUGUCCUAUGAGAAGAUAAUGACGGUAUCAUAGGAGGAAGCCCCGGCUAAAUACGUG
rnacentral:rRNA from 1 species